rfam:Moorella sp. 60_41 MPF_scaffold_290, whole genome shotgun sequence.
GCAGGAAAGUAGAAGCCAUCCGCUUCUCACCUUACAGCCACAGGCUGGUAAGGUCGGCGCCCGGUGAAAGAAGGGGUUUAGUUGUAUGAGCGGGUGGAGGGCACCCGCUUUCUUUGUGCUGG